AUUGAACGCUGGCGGCAUGCCUUACACAUGCAAGUCGAACGGCAGCACGGGUGCUUGCCCCUGGUGGCGAGUGGCGAACGGGUGAGUAAUACAUCGGAACAUGUCCUGUAGUGGGGGAUAGCCCGGCGAAAGCCGGAUUAAUACCGCAUACGAUCUACGUAUGAAAGCGGGGGCCCUUCGGGCCUCGCGCUAUCGGGUUGGCCGAUGGCUGAUUAGCUAGUUGGUGGGGUAAAGGCCUACCAAGGCGACGAUCAGUAGCUGGUCUGAGAGGACGACCAGCCACACUGGGACUGAGACACGGCCCAGACUCCUACGGGAGGCAGCAGUGGGGAAUUUUGGACAAUGGGCGAAAGCCUGAUCCAGCAAUGCCGCGUGUGUGAAGAAGGCCUUCGGGUUGUAAAGCACUUUUGUCCGGAAAGAAAUCCUUGGCCCUAAUACGGUCGGGGGAUGACGGUACCGGAAGAAUAAGCACCGGCUAACUACGUG
rnacentral:rRNA from 1 species